AAAGGCUGAGUGGGAUAUGCAUGUCCAACUUCCAAGCAAAAGAAAAGGAAAAGGAAAAAAGAAAAAGAAAAAAAUGUCAUCAAAUGUGAAACACAACACCACAUGCUUUGCUUUGUCCCAGAGCAGCCAUGGGGCAUCCAUAUAAUCCUUGUAUUUGUUUCCCUUUGGCUCCCAAUAAAAGUUGAAAGGAACAAACAGCCUGUCCUUGUUAUCCCCUUCCUCUCUCUACUCUUUCCAUCCGCAUUUCAACCAAACAAACCCUACAUUUGGAAACAACAUUUUAUUUUUAUUAUUAUAAAAUUACAAUUUCAACUUAAUUUACUAUAAUUAAACUUAAUAUAAUUUGCUCUUUUUGGUCCUCCAUUGGACCUAGCUAUCUAGCUAAUAGCUACCUCUCUUCUAGCUAAUAAACUUAUUAUUUAUGCAUCUAUCUACUUUAUGUACUUUAGCUCUUUGUGGCAUCUGCUAGUUUAUUAUUGCUUCUUAUGUAUGGAAUCCCUGUCAGGAAAUGAAUGGCUGCAAAUUCCGUACCAGUUUUCUUCUGCUCAACAUUGUCUGUAAGUGCUCUUCUAUCUCUUUCUUCUGAUUCUUCAUUUAUUUAUUAUUUCUAGUUACUUGCUUCUAAUCUUUUUGUUUCUAUCUCUGCAACUGUGUUGGUGCUUUCAUGAGUAUUCCUCCAACACAAAAAGAGGGGAAAUGCAAAAAGCUUUCUUUCUAAUAUGGUUUAAUUUCUUUUUCUUUUCUUGGUUAUUUCCCCCUUAAUUAAGAAAUAAUUGCGUUUUCAGAUUGCUGCUUUUUGCGGGUUNNNN
rnacentral:lncRNA from 1 species